UGCAUCCCCUUCGUCCCCACCUAGCUGGGAGUGACUCAGCUGGGUGACUUGUCAACUCCAUGUAAAAUCUCAGGCCCAGCCCCUGGGAGGGGUUCCAGUUCCAUCUCUGGCAUUUCAUUAAAGUUGGGACCAUCUUUCUCCGGCUUUUUGCAGCCAGGCUCAAAUCAGAUAAACUCCUUUGUUCUUCGUGGAACUGACAAGCAGUUAAAACCCCAUUAUUAUGCUAUAAUUUCAGAAAAUGGAUCCAAGUGAAUAGCUAAAUAGGGCUCAAGGCUGCUUAAUGAGACAUCUUAUUUGAGGCUUUCAAAUGUCAGAAAUUCCAGACAGCAGCAAGCUGAAGUCUCUGGGACCAACGUGUCAGCUCCAGGAAAGCUGGACCCCACGGUGCAGUGGAAGCAAAGAUUAAAACAGCAGGCUGGAGGAGCAGAAAUGUGAACAGCUGGAGGCCGGAAAAGAAAGGACACAAGCGGAGAAGAAACACCAGAGGAAAAAUAAUCCCUUAGAGGUUGCCCCAGCAAGAAGUCCUCCAACCUCAGCUUGAAUGCUUCCCAGCACGGGGCGCUCACCCCCUCCCUGGCCAGCCCAGCUCAGCGUGUCUCACUGCUCACCACUGGAACUCACGCCCUACACCAAGCUACGGACCCACGGCUCCCAUUCUUGGCCUCCUCUGGAAAAUCGAACGCCUUUGUCCACGAAGAGAAACAACUGCAUUUAUCUCGAGGCUAUGCUGAUUUCUGUGCGUGUCUGUCCCCACCUGUGACUGGAAUCCCGGGAAAGCAAGACCUGUCCCUCACACUGCUCUGCCCACACCCUCGUGUGGUGGAGCUGAGCGUGUCUGAGGGCGGCUUCCAGGCAAGUGCAGACGCCGACGACAGGCACCUGACCUCACCAGGAAAGGCCUCUCCUGACUCUCCCUGGGCCCUCACUUGCUCACAGAGGCUUGCAGGCCCUGGCUGAGCCUUCGAACCUCAGCAGAGGAACUCCCAUCUUCCCCUAACAAACUCCAGGCAGAAGCCCCAAACAUGAAAUCGGCCAAAGGACGAUGUUCAUUUAAAUCAGGACUGAGGCCAGGGUGAGGCGAGGGAGGUGCUGGUGCUGCAGGUCCCACGACACUCACUCUCAGGGUCAUGGGCACCUAAGACGAGAUGCCAACAUCCAUGCUGUACCCAGGCAUCCCUCCCUUGCACUUAAACCUCUUGACUGGUGCGGGUUCCUGCAGAGGCCUGUGGGACCGAGUUUGAGAACCACAGGGGACCGACAAGCCCAGAGCUGCUGCCCCCUGGGAAUCAGGCCCAGGUCUAGAGCCUCCAGCAGGGUCAGCCAGCCCUGGACGCUCUAGUCUUGGAGGGUCCACAGGCCUGGGGGCCACAGGGCUGCUAGCCAGCCCAACGCAUGAGGGACCAGACCCUUGAGGGUUUCUCCCCAAACAACCAGGGUGUUGACCAAUCUGCGCUGCCUGCAUCCUCUCAAAGGACGACCUUGCAGCAGGAACUCCCAGAAGGAGGGAGGUCUGGGGGGAGGGGCUCGUUCUGUGGCUGCGGCACCCAUGCCUGCCCAGUAGGCACUCCCACAGGUGACCUGGAAGGCGUGACUGGGUGAUGCUCUGGCACUCAGAAGAAGGAAUUUGCAGUGACCAGAAUGCCACGUAGCGCUUUGGGCUCCCAAAACAAGAGCCGCAACAGGCGCUUAUCACAGAGACCUCUUAUCGCCCGGCGUGUUAAGCUCGAAAUGGGAUCAUUACAGCCCAAGACGGCUUCUUUCUUCAUCCGGGCUCCUUCAGCCUCUCUCCUCCCUUCCCCUGGGAAUGUGCUCUUACUGGGCAUGCCUGUAAUUGGAGAAGGAGAAAAUGAAACACCACGUCCUUCUUUCUCUGCAGAGGAGGGAGGCCCAGUUCUGUGGACCCAGGAAUUACUGGACGUUUGGAGAGUCCCACAAAAGUGGGUGCCUUUGGAGUCCGCUGUAGAGAAGAACACCAGCCAGGGGUUCUCAGACGGCUGUGCCCUCCCAGAUCCUAAGGGCCCCACUCUGUUCCCCCAGGCUGGAGUGCAGUGGUGAGACCAUGGCUCACUGUGGCCUCGACCUCCCGGGCUCAAGGGAUCCUCCAACCUUAGCCUCCCAAUGUGUUGGCAUUACAGGCAUGCGCCAUCGCACCAGGCAAAACUGGACUCUUGUUCUGAAGUCAUGUGGGGGAACUGGGCCCCUGAGCGAGGCGAGGCUGUCUCAGGUCUGGGCCUUCUUUUCCGAGCUCCCUGACGUCUGACAUACCCUUGGUGAACAGCAGAAGGCACAUCGGAUCUACAUUCAGAUGCCUGCCUAUGCUGUGGGAUGCAAUCCUCCCUUAUGGAACAGUUCCUGCAGAAUUUCUCGGGGCCGUGCAGAUAAGGGAAGCAGGCAGCCUUAGGAAGCUGGGCAGGUGGAACCUACUGUACAGCCCACGAGCGCCAGCCUGCACUGAGGCCACUAGCAUUCGCAUCUCACCUCCCGGGAGCACCAGCCUGCACCGAGGCCUCUAGCAUUCAUGUCUCACUUCCUGCAAGCACCAGCCUGCACCGAAGCCUCUAGCGUUCACGUCUCACCUCCUGGGAGCACCAGACUGCACCGAGGCCUCUAGCGUUCAUGUCUCACUUCCCGCAAGCACCAGCCUGCACCGAGGCCUCUAGUGUUCACGUCUCACCUCCUGGGAGCACCAGCCUGUACCGAGGCCUCUAGCAUUCAUGUCUCACCUCCCGCAAGUGCCAGCCUGCACCGAGGCCUCUAGCGUUCACGUCUCACCUCCUGGGAGCACCAGCCUGUACCGAGGCCUCUAGCAUUCAUGUCUCACCUCCCGCAAGUGCCAGCCUGCACCGAGGCCUCUAGCGUUCACGUCUCACCUCCUGGGAGCACCAGCCUGUACCGAGGCCUCUAGCAUUCACGUCUCACCUCCCGCAAGUGCCAGCCUGCACCGAAGUCUGGCAUUCACGCUCACCUCCCGCAAGCACCAGCCUGCACCGAGGCCUCUGGCAUCCAUGUCUCACCUCCCGCAAGUACCAGCCUGCACCGAAGCCUAGCAUUCAUGCUCACCUCCCGCGAACACCAGCCAGCACUGAGGCCUCUGGCAUCCAUGUCUCACCUCCCGCAAGUACCAGCCUACACUGAAGCCCCUAGCAUUCAUGCCUCACCUCCCGGCCACACAAGGAAACAGAAAACUUUCUUGUCACUAAUGACCAACAGUGAAAAAGAACAAGCCAACCAUAACAACUUUUAAAGAAUGAAAAUGGUCAGAUGUUUCUUUUAUGCCUUUCUCUUAACAAUAAAACAUAGCCUAGCACAGAUGGGCCUGAGAAGGACUCCCAGACUCCUAGAUGGCUUCGAACCAUGUCCUUUCCUCCUGACGGCUCGUGGCUUGGCGUGAGGUUUCAUGUGUACAGGAAUUGGUGUGAGAGGCCAGUGUCCCAAUGAAUUGUGCAGCUGGGAUGGCAGGAGAGGGCUCCUCUGUGUACUGCG
rnacentral:lncRNA from 10 species